GACCGCUCCAGUGGCCUAGUGGUUAGAGCGUCCGCCUCGGAUGCGGGAUGUCGCGGGUUCAAACCCCGGCUAAGUCA